rnacentral:rRNA from 1 species
CCUACGGGUGGCAGCAGUGAGGAAUAUUGGUCAAUGGACGAGAGUCUGAACCAGCCAAGUAGCGUGCAGGAUGACUGCCCUAUGGGUUGUAAACUUCUUUUAUAUGGCAAUAAAACGUUCCACGUGUGGGAUUUUGUAUGUACCAUAUGAAUAAGGAUCGGCUAACUCCGUGCCAGCAGCCGCGGUAAUACGGAGGAUCCGAGCGUUAUCCGGAUUUAUUGGGUUUAAAGGGAGCGUAGGUGGAUUGUUAAGUCAGUUGUGAAAGUUUGCGGCUCAACCGUAAAAUUGCAGUUGAAACUGGCAGUCUUGAGUACAGUAGAGGUGGGCGGAAUGCGUGGUGUAGCGGUGAAAUGCUUAGAUAUCACGAAGAACUCCGAUUGCGAAGGCAGUUCACUGGACUGCAACUGACACUGAGGCUCGAAAGUGUGGGUAUCAAACAGGAUUAGAUACCCCUGUAGUC